rnacentral:rRNA from 1 species
AGAGUUUGAUCCUGGCUCAGAAUCAACGCUGGCGGCGCGCCUAACACAUGCAAGUCGAACGAGAAAGUGGAGCAAUCCAUGAGUACAGUGGCGUACGGGUAAGUAACACGUGGGUAAUCUACCUCUUUGUGGGGAAUAACUCUGGGAAACCGGAGCUAAUACCGCAUAAGCUCGAGAGAGGAAAGUCGCAAGACGCUGAGAGAGGAGCCCGCGGCCGAUUAGCUAGUUGGCAGGGUAACAGCCUACCAAGGCAAAGAUCGGUAGCCGGCCUGAGAGGGCACACGGCCACACUGGCACUGAAACACGGGCCAGACUCCUACGGGAGGCAGCAGUGGGGAAUCUUGCACAAUGGGGGAAACCCUGAUGCAGCGACGCCGCGUGAGCGAUGAAGCCCUUCGGGGUGUAAAGCUCUUUCGUCAGGGAAGAUGAUGACGGUACCUGGAGAAGCAGCUGCGGCUAACUACGUGCCAGCAGCCGCGGUAAUACGUAGGCAGCGAGCGUUGUUCGGAGUUACUGGGCGUAAAGGGUGUGUAGGCGGUUGUUUAAGUUUGGUGUGAAAUCUCCCGGCUCAACUGGGAGGGUGCGCCGAAUACUGAGCGACUCGAGUGCGGGAGAGGAAAGUGGAAUUCCUGGUGUAGCGGUGAAAUGCGUAGAUAUCAGGAGGGACACCGGUGGUGUAGACGGCUUUCUGGACCGUAACUGACGCUGAGACACGAAAGCGUGGGUAGCAAACAGGAUUAGAUACCCUGGUAGUCCACGCCCUAAACGAUGCAUAUUUGGUGUGGGCAGUUCAUUCUGUCCGUGCCGGAGCUAACGCGUUAAAUAUGCCGCCUGGGGAGUACAGUCGCAAGGCUGAAACUCAAAGGAAUUGACGGGGCCCGCACAAGCGGUGGAGCAUGUGGUUCAAUUCGACGCAACGCGAAGAACCUUACCUGGGCUCGAACGGCUUCUCAACGGCUGUGG